rnacentral:lncRNA from 1 species
GAUCUCUCCACCAUGCACCUUGUGACCCCCUCCCCUGCUAACAAUAGAUAACUACUUUUAACUGUAACUUUCCACUGUCUACCCAAGCCCUAUAGAGCUGCCCCUCUCCUAUCUCCCUUUGCUGACUCUCUUUUCGGACUCAGCCCACUUGCACCCAAGUGAAUAAACAGCCUUGUUGCUCACACAAAGCCUGUUUGGUGGUCUCUUCACCUGGAUGUGCUUGACAUUUGGUGCCAUGACUCGGAUCAGGGGACCUCCCUUGGGAAAUGAAUCUCCUGUCCUCCUGCCUUUUGCUCCAUGAGAAAAUCCACCUACAAACUCGGGUCCUCAGACUGGCCCAAAAAACAUCUCACCAAUUUUAAAUCGGAUCUCCUUGGCAAGACUGAUGCUGCUCAAUCGUCUCAGAAGCCCCCCGGACCAUCAUGGAUGCCAAGCUUCAGGUAACUCUUACAGUGGAGGGUAAGUCCGUCCCCUUCUUAGUCAAUAUGGAGGCUACCCCCUCCACAUUACGUUCUUUUCAAGGGCCUGUUUCCCUUGCCUCCGUAACUAUUGUGGGUAUUGACAGCCAGGCUUCUAAACCUCUUUAAACUCCCCCACUCUAGUGCCAACUUGGACAACAUUCUUUUAUGUACUCUUUUUUAGUUAUCCCCACCUGCGCAGUUCCCUUAUUAGGCCAAGACAUUUUAACAAAAUUAUCCACUACCCUGACUAUUCCUGGAAUACAGCCGCAUCUCAUUGCUGCCCUUCUUCCCAACCCAAAGCCUGUUUUGCAUCCUC